AUUGAACGCUGGCGGCAGGCUUAACACAUGCAAGUCGAACGGUAACAUAAAGAAGCUUGCUUCUUUGAUGACGAGUGGCGGACGGGUGAGUAAUGCUUGAGAAUCUAGCUUAUGGAGGGGGAUAACUACGGGAAACUGUAGCUAAUACCGCGUAGUAUCGGAAGAUGAAAGUGUGGGACCUUCGGGCCACAUGCCAUAGGAUGAGCCCAAGUGGGAUUAGGUAGUUGGUGAGGUAAAGGCUCACCAAGCCGACGAUCUCUAGCUGGUCUGAGAGGAUGACCAGCCACACUGGGACUGAGACACGGCCCAGACUCCUACGGGAGGCAGCAGUGGGGAAUAUUGCGCAAUGGGGGCAACCCUGACGCAGCCAUGCCGCGUGAAUGAAGAAGGCCUUCGGGUUGUAAAGUUCUUUCGGUAGCGAGGAAGGCGUUUAGUUUAAUAAACUAGGUGAUUGACGUUAACUACAGAAGAAGCACCGGCUAACUCCGUGCCAGCAGCCGCGGUAAUACGGAGGGUGCGAGCGUUAAUCGGAAUAACUGGGCGUAAAGGGCACGCAGGCGGUGACUUAAGUGAGGUGUGAAAGCCCCGGGCUUAACCUGGGAACUGCAUUUCAUACUGGGUCGCUAGAGUACUUUAGGGAGGGGUAGAAUUCCACGUGUAGCGGUGAAAUGCGUAGAGAUGUGGAGGAAUACCGAAGGCGAAGGCAGCCCCUUGGGAAUGUACUGACGCUCAUGUGCGAAAGCGUGGGGAGCAAACAGG
rnacentral:rRNA from 1 species